rnacentral:rRNA from 1 species
UGCCAGCCGCCGCGGUAAUACAGAGGGUGCAAGCGUUAAUCGGAAUCACUGGGCGUAAAGCGUGCGUAGGUGGCUAAAUUAGUCAGGUGUGAAAUCCCCGGGCUCAACCUGGGAACUGCGCUUGAUACUGUUUAGCUAGAGUACAGGAGAGGAAAGUAGAAUUUCCGGUGUAGCGGUGAAAUGCGUAGAUAUCGGAAGGAAUACCAGUGGCGAAGGCGGCUUUCUGGACUGAUACUGACACUGAGGUACGAAAGCGUGGGGAGCAAACAGGAUUAGAUA